rnacentral:rRNA from 1 species
GAAUCAGCUCGGUACUCCGAAUGCAUCUUAUAAUUAAGUUUGAUCAUGGCUCAGAGUGAACGCUGGCGGUAGUGCCUAACACAUGCAAGUCGAACGGCAGCACAGGAGAGCUUGCUCUCUGUGGUGGCGAGUGGCGGACGGGUGAGGAAUACAUCGGAAUCUACUCUGUCGUGGGGGAUAACGUAGGGAAACUUACGCUAAUACCGCAUACGACCUACGGGAUGAAAGCAGGGGAUCUUCGGACCUUGCGCGAUUGAAUGAGCCGAUGGUCGGAUUAGCUAGUUGGCGGGGUAAAGUGGCCCUACCUAAGGGACNGAGCGGAUCCGUUAGAUCUUGGGUCUGAGUAAGGCAUGAAUCAGGCCAACACUGGAACUNGAGUGACACGGGGUCUCG